UUAGGCGAUGGUGAAUUGUGACCUAGCGCAAGUCCUCCAGAUCGAUCAUGCUUGUGCGCCGCUCAUUGCUAUGCUCGUCACGAGGCCCCAAUCGACAACCGUCGGCCGGUCGCGGCGCGGCGCGGCGGCGGCAUGCUAUCCAAGCCGCUCUCGUCCUUUCCUGAGCAGAUCCUGCAGGGAUGAGAUGAAGACCGACGUCCAUGGCAUCGUGUAUUAGUCCAUCGAUGAGUUUACGUAUUCCUCAAUCAAUCAGCUUGACGUACCACAGAUUAGCUUCCAGUUACAAGGCUGGCAAAUCAGCCAGGUGCUACAACGGACAAUGAUUUUGCCAAGAACUGGAGGAUGAGAUGUUGAACCUCCGACUACUCCAAAAUCCGAAGCACGGAGAGAACACACCCGUUCAGGGAUACGCCCUUUUUUUUCUUGUGUUGCAUCUGCCGACAAUUUGUAUAUGAGCGAAAGGUGUUGAAUGACUCACGGAGGAUGGAAAGAUGGUGAUGUUGUAUAAAUUGUUUGGUCUUGCAGGGUGUAGUUGUUGAAAACAUUAACUUCAAAAUUCAAAUCAGUUUCACAUGAUAUUUUUCGUACGUAAAGGUCUUCCCUCUAUUGUGUCUUCAUUUACUGAUGGUGAAGUUGUUGCCGAGGGGACUG